rnacentral:rRNA from 1 species
GAUGAACGCUGGCGGCGUGCCUAAUACAUGCAAGUCGAGCGAACAGAUAAGGAGCUUGCUCCUUUGACGUUAGCGGCGGACGGGUGAGUAACACGUGGGUAACCUACCUAUAAGACUGGGAUAACUUCGGGAAACCGGAGCUAAUACCGGAUAAUAUUUCGAACCACAUGGUUCGAUAGUGAAAGAUGGUUUUGCUAUCACUUAUAGAUGGACCCGCGCCGUAUUAGCUAGUUGGUAAGGUAACGGCUUACCAAGGCGACGAUACGUAGCCGACCUGAGAGGGUGAUCGGCCACACUGGAACUGAGACACGGUCCAGACUCCUACGGGAGGCAGCAGUAGGGAAUCUUCCGCAAUGGGCGAAAGCCUGACGGAGCAACGCCGCGUGAGUGAUGAAGGUCUUCGGAUCGUAAAACUCUGUUAUUAGGGAAGAACAUACGUGUAAGUAACUGUGCACGUCUUGACGGUACCUAAUCAGAAAGCCACGGCUAACUACGUG